rnacentral:lncRNA from 1 species
CUCCUACUGUCUUCUGGUUGGCAUUAAAGUUAAAUGAUUAGCAAAAAUUAGCAUUAUUUAUGACCUCAUGGAGCCUAGAGUCUAGUAGGCAAGAGACAGUGACCAAUAAUAACAGGGGGUAGCUCAGGAAAGGCUGUUCUGAAGAAGUGAAGAUUAAUCUUAUAUUGAGUGAUCUUGCUUAAAUCCGAGGAUGGUAGAAGAAUGUCCAAAACAGAUGGACCAGCAUGUGAAAAGGUUCUGUUACCAAAGAGAGAAAGGCACACUGUGGCAAAGGCCAGAAGUCAAUAGAGAAGCCAGCCAGAGUCUUAGGUCAGAUCUUUGCAUGACAGCAAGAGUGGAAUUCGGCUGCAUCCAUGCACAGGUUCACCCUGGCCAUCCCACCACUUUUGAACCAGCCAGGUGUGAAGAAGCUGAUGCUUGAUGGAGUGUACUCAGGCAUGUGCCCACCUCUGCACCCCAGAACAGAAACCACAGCCCAGCUGCUUUGGUGACUAAGCUUUGGGAAGGACGUGGCAUUGAUAAGAAAUGUCUUACAAAUACAUCUUCAAACACAUGAAAAGCUAUGACAGAAAGGGUGGCAUUCGGCUUCCUUUGCCUCAACUGAAGAUGGUCUAAGGGGCAAUGAAACCUACCCAGUGUAUGAUUUGGCAAAGAGAGACUUUCCCUGCAGUCAAGAUCACUGAGCCCCAGAGGGGACACAAGGACACUGGGGUCGCCUGGGCCAGCAUCGAAGGUGGUCCUGGUGUGACACAACCGGAGAUCACUCUAGGGAUGGUGGUGGCACACUCCUGCCCUGGUGUUUGCUUUUGAAGCAGCCAGGAACUUAGAAGCAGUGACUAAAAACUGUGACUCUUCACUUGGGCCUAUAGAUGCCUAAUGAGCAGCUAAAAGCAGAAAAAGCUUGACUUGUAUCCUUUGUUACUUUAAAACUUUGAAUCAAAUUCCUUCUUAGCUCUGCAUGCAGAUGUUUAUAACUUAGGAAGUGUCUGUCUAAAAGUUGGCAAAAACAAGGUUGAUUAGCGUUGAAUUUACAAAAUCUCAUCCCCCUUGGAGACUAAGGAUAGAAAUCCCCAGCCAUUGUCCUAAACCUGUGAUCCCCUAGAUUCCAGGAAAAGCAAAGCUCCAUGUGACAGAAGCCACCAUAAACACAGAUAAGCAUUUCGUGGGGACAGAGCACCCUGCGAGCCAUGAAGAUUCCAGAGCUACAAAACCAGGACUGAGGUCAGCCAGAGCCCAGCCCGCCAGGUAACCCUCAAGUCUGGCCUCCUGCUUUCCUGAGUA